UUAUUUCUGAGCUAAAUCAGGAUGAAAAAAGGCAGGUAAAAACGGAAGGCACGCAGGCACUAGAAAACAAGGGAAAGAGGGGUGGAGUAGUGAGAUCAGCAAAGGCUCUCCGGACGAAGAGAGCCCACUUUUCCCCGCAUCAGAAAGCUUGGGAAACACCGAGAAAUUGAGAGGAAAAACAGAGAAAGAGUGAGAAAAAAACCCUAAACAUGUCUGAGAGUAAGAAGGAAGACAAACCCGCUAGGCAUCAAUCAACCCCCUUUUAUCUAUGUGUAUAAUUUAGACGACAUAAACACCAACCCAACCCCUCCUCCCUCGUUAUCAUUAUUAAAAAUAAACAGAGAGAGAGAAAGAGAGAGAAACGAGAUGUACUGCUACUGUGACUGAGGUGUAGAGCGAGAAAGCGAAGAAUGAAGUAAGCUCCAACAGUGGAAUAAUUAAAUAAAUAAAAAAACCAAAACCCAAAAAGCAGGAAACAAAAACAAAGAAAGAAGGCAAUAAAACGCCCGCAAAUCGAAAAUCCCCGAUUUGGUUUCUCUCUCUCUUUCCCUCCCUUCUCUCUGCUCACCAGCAUUUACGCACUCCUCCCUCUCUCUCUCCCUCUCCCUUUCUAAUCACACUUGUUUAAUAAUAAUCUCCACAUUUUCCUUUAAUUUUUCCAAAUUAAAGUUACUUCCCUACUUGGACAUGCUUCUCUAGAAAGAAUCAGGUCGGAGCCUCAGACAGCUUAAUUGAAAAAUCCAGCCCAUCACAAUUUCUUUUUUCUCUCAAGAAAACGACUGAUAUUCAACCUGAAUGUGAACAUUAGUUGGAAAGUGUUUGAAGUCAUUCUGUCUUUUGCAUUUAGUCAAUAUCUUGUACGAAUUAGUCCGGGAUUAAGAUUGAAAAUGAUCCCAUAACCAUUUCUAACCAGCCUUUCCCUUAAUGUUGGUGACCCUUCAUUCAUUUUGGUAAAACUCUCCUUUUACUUUUUUGGUCAAUCUCUUCUCCAUCCAAUUUGAUAUGGAUUUAAGUAGUGUAACUUUUUCUAUUAAGUUAAAACUAAUCUACCAAUAUCUAUUAAUAUAAUUAAAAUAAAUUUAUUAUAAAUAUAUUUAAUUCAAUUAUAUUAAUUAACAUCAAUAAAUUAUUUUUAAUUAAAUAAAAUAAAAACAUCAUCUUUAUUUUUAUUUUUAAUAAUUAUAUAUAUAUAUAUGCUUUUUAAAGUGUCACAAUCAUUCAUUCUUACCCUUCAAUCCAACUUAAUUGUUUUCAAUAGUUGAGAUUCGAGUACAUAAAUGAUGUGAUCAACACUUUGGAAUUGUGUGAAUCUAUGUGAAACCUAAUUUAAUGCACUCCCAUCCAAUUCAUGUCCCUACAAAGUUAAAUUAUUAUACAUGGGGUAUUAUUAUAUGAUUUGUGUCACACUCCAUAAAAAUAAAAAAUAAAAAAAAUUAUUAAGAUAUAUCUAUAUGUUAAGUACUUGGGAAAAAAGCCAAAUGUAUUUUGGAGAAUAAUUUGGAUUUUUAUUUAUUUAUUUUUUACAACUAUACUUCUAAUAUAGCACUCCAUUGGACAUGUUUGAUAAUUCAAUCAUUCAAUCUAAACAUGUUAAAUGAUUAAAUGUUGAUUUGUGUCUCAAUCCUAAUUCAAGCAUGCUAAUCACCAUGAUUGCUUUUAUUUCAAGAAAUGUUAUUGUACUUAAAGUAAGUUUUUGGAGUAAAACUUGGUAAAAAUCAAUUUAUCUUUGAUGUUUGUAUGGUGAAAUUAAAAUUAAAAAAAAAAAAAAAAAAGUAGUAGUGUGAUGGAUAAGCUAUUCGCUUAUUGCUUUACAUACAUGUUUUUUUUUUGCAUGUUUCGGAAGUGUGUUGUAUAAGUUUAUAUUCUAUCAAGAAAAUUGAACAAAAAAAUUAUUUUCUUUCUUUGUUUGAUUGAAAUUGAAUAAAAAAAAAUAAUAUUUGUCUCCCUGACUAAGAAUGAUAAUAGUGGAUUGGUCAUGUGACAUACCUUAUUUGUUUAAUUUUAUUAUUGAAAAAAUUAAAAAGAAUGAAAUAAAAGAAAAUGGGAUAAGACAACACUAGAAUUCAUUAUAAGCUUAAUAAAAAAUAUAAAACCACUUUUGAGUUGUUUAUUUUUGUCUCAAAUUUAUCUUAUUAUGAUGGAAUGGGAUGGGAUGGGAAGGGAAAAUACCCUAAAAAAACUUUGGCUAUUAUCAUCUCAUUUAAAACGAAAAUAAUAAAAAUAAUAAUAAAUUACCCAUAAAGUUAUAAAAAAGAAAAAAAAGUAAAAACAAAAGACAUGCAAUCCCACUGGAAAUAAAUAAUAAAUAAAAAAGGAAAAAUGGCAAAAUUGAGAAUAUUAAAAGAGAGCAAGGGCAGAAAAGAGUGGAGGGGGGAGGGGGUUGAGGGACCAGGAGUAGAAUUGAAUAGAGAGGAGGGCGGUUUCUUAAUUCCAGACCAACAUUAUAAAAAGCGAAAUGCGCAUGAUAGUGAAAAAAGUGAAUCCUCUUCUCUCUCUCCCCCCUUUCAUAUUAUUUUAUUUCAUGUUUUUUCUCAUUCCUUUUCCGGCGCGGACCGUCGGCGCACAUUAGCCUCGGUCGGUGAUUUUUGGGGAUUCGACAAACGCCCUAAAGAGAUAUGUAAGAGGAAAAAAGAAGCUAUUAAUAUACAUUAAAUAUGCUUUGUAUUUUGUGAAAACACAAAAAACAUUUUUAUUGUUUCAUCUCCUUUUGGGCAUGCGUGAAAAGCUCUCUCACAUGCUUCCCACACACACCCUGCAAAAUUUUAUUUGUUCACAGGUCCCUUUUUUUCUUUUUUCUUUUUUUUUUUUGGUAUUUAGUUUUGUUUAAUUAAAAAAGUAGCAAUGGGGCAAUAUUGGAUCACAAGCAAAGAUGAAAAAGGGGGAUUGAAUUAAGAAAUGGGCUUGGGAACAUGGGGUUAAAACUAAUCUUUUUGAUACAAUGAUUGUAUUUUUUUAUGUCAAUGAAAAUGGGUUGGUGAUCCGGUGAGGUUGGCUCCAUUGUAAAGACUUGUGGAGCCUUGGAGGAAACUCCAUUGUAUUUUGUAUAUAUUCUCAUGGGUAAGGGUGUAAGUGAAAAUUAAAAAUUCGGUAUGUCUGAUCAAAAUCAAAUAAAUGUGUAUUGGUUUAGUUUUCAAUAGUUAUUAAGGUCGAUUUGGUUUAAGAAUUGUGAAAACGGAUUUAGUCAAUUCAAUUUUUAGUGUUUCAAGUUAAAUUAAUACAUCAUUAGAGUUGCAGUUGUUAUUGCUUGUGCCUAGGGCUUUUUUGAACAAGAUCUCUCAUUUCUUAAUGUGGAUACCUAUAAAAAGGAAAAUCCUAAGAACCCUUAGAUGCCCCUUUUAAUUGUUCCAUUAGAUUUUCAACAAUAGUAAGAAAAUUUGAUAUAAUUUUUGAAAAGAAAAUUAGUUAUUCUCUGUCGAGUGUCACCAUAGGGCAAGUGACAACAUGCAAUUGAUUAUGCUCUAAAUGCAUCGUAGUUCAAAUUGGGACAAUUGUCCGUUACUAGUUAUGCAGUAUGUAAUGAAGAAGACAAAUGACAAACAUUCUCAACCAUGCAAUACCUAUUCGAGUGGUGGUUGUGUUGCAAGUUUGCCUAAUUUGUCAAGUUCUAUUGAGAUGAGAUUUUGUUAUAUUUUUGGACUUUCCGCCUUAUAUUAUGUCGUUGGGUGGUUUUGUCGAGACAAACUCCCUUCCAUACUAAGUGCGCUAUUAUUCAACUAGUAUGCUUAAAAAGGGGAUAGUGAGGGACAAAUUUGACUCCUCACAUAUUAUGAUUUAUAUAUCUUAUGAUUUGUAGAUAUAUUUAACUAAUUGAAUCACCUUAUCGUAAUGCUACCUAGAUAUAUAAGGUUAUAACAACACAACAACAAGCUUGUAUUAAUGUAACAAUUAAAAAAAAAACAAUUUGUAACAAAAAAAAAUUUAAAAUUCAAAGUAUAUUAGAAAAAAAUUAAAGAGAAAAUAAAUAUAUUUUAUUUUAUUCUUUUUUUUGAGUGAUACUAUGUUUUCUCACAAGCUAUUUUUGUUUUCAAAACAAAACCUAUAUACUAUGAGUACUACGCCUAUGAGUAGGUCCAAGGACUGGUUUGUUUCUAUUAUAUUUUCCGUAGCAAAAAAUCCAUCCAUUCAAAGGUUGGGUUAAUCAAUGGAACGAAAUUUUCUGAUGGUAAUGAUGAAAAUAUUUAUUUGCAGUUUUCAAACUUUGAAAGUAUUGUUGUGGAUGUAUUUCCACAAGUCCAAUACUCAAAAUAGAAAAGACCAAAUGAUUGAAACAUAUUUUCUUCCGUUUGGAUUGGAUAAUGGGAAGAUUGAAACCCCAGUUUCAAAAAGAAAAGAUUUUCCAAUCUCCUCUCUAUGACUUUGCAUUCCACUAUCUCCAUGCCAGUAGGAUCACAAAACCAUGUUGAAAAUUUUGAAAAACAUUAAAGUAAAAGAAUUUGACCUUCCAACACUGAAAAGCCUUUUAUGCUCCAUACAUGCUGUUGUGGGUCUUAUUGUGUGUGGUCACUUUGGACAUAAGUAAUCUCCCCUCUCACACACACACAUGCUGCUAAGUCCUAUGCAUGCCUUAGAUGGUUAAGAUGGUGAUGUUUUUAGGUGAUCUACAAACCUUCUUCCUCUAAUGGUGGCUUCAUUGAUUCACUAAGAUCAAACCUUUUAAUGGGUUUUUGAGGCCAAUUUUGCAAAAUAUUAUUACUUCAUUGACUCACUAUGACAAAAAAAUCAAAAUAUGUGAUGGGUUCUCUAGGCAAAGAUGUAAUGGGCUUUUGAGACAAAAUCAUGUGGUUUGUUUUGGCUAGUUAAUUGAUUGAAUAAGAUGGGAUAGAGUAAUGGGUUUUUAGAGGGCAAAAAUUGAGGGUGAUGAAGGGGAGAGGUGGGAAAGAAGAGAGGGACAAGGGAGAUGUUGGAGAAAGCAAAGAGAACACAUACAGGAAGACAUUCUAUGAGUGACAUAUAUAACAAGCAUGUCCCAGAUAUAGUACAAUGAAUGGGGUAUGAUGAGCAAUAACCAAAGUCAAAUGGGUAUAUUUUUCUUUUAUAAACUUUAGGGUUGAUGGGAUUAACAUCCUUCCACUUUGUCUCCCCUCUCACUCACUCCUCAUUUCUCUUUUGUUUUCUUGCUUUAUUUUCCAUGUCCCUAUGGGUGGAGGGUUCCUAUCGCCUUUUCCCUUCACCCAUUUGCUUUUCUCAUAGGAAAGGAAUAAUGCCACGGCCCUUCCUUAACCCACUUUUGGGCCCCAUCAAGGUCCAAUCAAGUCUCCCCCACAAACACCUCUCUUUGUGGGCCCCAGCUGUCUGGGCUGGGCCCAUUUUCUUUCUCUCACAUACACACACCUCCCCAAAAAAUGUUGCGUAAAUCAAUAGAAUGCUUACAUGGGCUUUGCUUUGAGGUGUUGGUGUCUUUCAAGUGGAGACUAUACCCCACCACGUCACACCCCAUUUCCACUUAGAUUUGCCACUCUGCACUCCCCCCACCCCCCCUCCCCCUCUCCCUCUCUCUCUCUCUCUCUCAACCUUUGCUUGCCCAUCACACUUAUUGUAGUACCCUCUUUUUACAUCAUUUCACUUAUCUCUCUCUCUCUCUCUCUCUCUCUCCAAUUCCAUGCUCUGUUCUUUUCACCAUAAAGCUUUAACCCACAUAUGGAUAAAGAUGCCACUGCUGUUUCUUGGUGGUUAGGGGUGUUGCUGAAGCAAAAUUGGUAGCUUUUGGGUUUUGGUGGGCUCACAUCCCACUCUCCUGUAGAAGAAGAUCAUCCACAUGAUAGGCCAUCUAAUAGUGCUUCUUGUUCAAUUAAUCAUUUAACUACCUGAUGUAAACCCUUGAUCUAUCAUAAAGAUGUCUCAUUAUUAGUAGGUAUGGUUUGUUAUAGCCUUUUAAAAUUCUAUUGGGUUUUCACAUGGCUCACCAUAAGAACUCUUUUUUAUGGGUGAGUGUGUAGGGUUGGUGAGAUUUUCUAAUAUGUACUGUUUUAGAGUUUAUCAUGGUUUAAAUUUCAGUGUGGAAGGCAGAGAGACAUCGAGAGCUUUUGUUCAUUGGUAUGGUGGAUUGCAGAAUUGGUUCUCUUUGUUUCAACAAAACAGCAUUCAUUUUUUUUCUCUUAAAUUGAAGCAUAGGAAAGUAAGAACAAGAGGAUGGGUAAGAGAGGGGACAAGCAUUUAAUAAGAGGCACCAAAGGAGAUGAACAUGCCAAAAAACUUUUGAUGAAUACGGCCAUUUGAAUUAAAUCCCACUUUCAGAAAACUGUGUUAAAACAAGUACGUGAAGGCAGUGGGUUCAAAAUUAAUUGACCAAAUUUCAUGAUGAGAUAAUCCAAGAGUCAAGCCUCCGUCAGAACCCUGCUCUUAAUCAAACCCCUCAUUUACUCGCUGUCCUAAAGGGCCCACAUCAUCAAGCCCUUGAUGAUUCUUACCAAAACUCCACUCCACAGUGUUUUGGUAAGUUCUUUUUUCUCUUUAGGACUGUCCCCAGAUAAAAUGCUAGAAAGAGAAAAAAAGGCUCGUGUCUUGGGCAGUGUAUUAGUGUAUGAAUUUGAGCAUCUACUGUCUUUGAUAUGAUUCUGCAAAUAUGUACAAGUCCCCUAUGUUGGACAUCAUGGGCAAUUAGGAGGGCUCAAUAAUACUCUCAUUUUCUUGUUCGUAUACAUGUAGAAAGGAGGAUGCGUUUGGUGAGUAGGCUUGACGCUUUUGAGUCAAGGAAUGCUAACCAGGGAGUCCUGUGGGGGUCUCCCAAAAUUAAAGAAGAAAAAGAAAGGAUGAAAACAUUAUUCCAGUUUGAAGUUUGAGAGAUAAGCCGAGCCUUUAAAAACUCCUCUGUUUUUUCACAUGAAAACCUCCUUUUUCAUUCUAAGGGGGUUGUUCUAACUGAGAUUGAAGGCAGAAACUAGUCCAGAGAUGCAUCUGGCCUGAUUUGGAAUCUCCCUUGAAAUACUGAAAAUUGGGUUGUUUCCCUAGUCAUCUUCAUUUGAUUUCAAAGAAAGAUCUUGGCUUCAGUUUAGGAUUAUAACAGAGGCAAGAGCAAAAGCUUCUCCAUCCACUUUGGCUUCAGAAAUACCAGAAGCUUUCCGAUCCAUCUUUAAUCGUACAAACACCUCAUCAUACUCAUAAUUUCCGCUUUAAUCCUAAUUGGGAAUCAAAGUUCAAUCCAAAAUAGCCUUUCGCCAGAGAAACCAAAUUGUAGCCACCAUAAGAUUAUCACUAAUAUCUGUACAGUCACAAUCCCCCAUCCUAAGAAGUUACAUGAUCCCAGUAUUGAGGAAAUUACAUUACAGAAACUAAUUCCAAUUUCCCCUUACACGCCCAUGACCGACCAUAGAAAGCUGCGUUACAGCAUGGAAGGAACCCCAGGUGUGAACAAACACUGUAUGGAUACUAAAUCGGCUCUACUAUAAAAUGAUAUGACCAGCAUGCAUACAUGAUAAAAGUAUAAAUCACAAUAAGCUAUAGAGCAUUUGCGGUGCAGCUGCUCUUGAAUUGCAACGAUUAAAGAUUGCCGAUGCUAAUUUAACCUGCAAACAACGUAGCUUUAACAAAACAAAGAACUGGCAAAUAAAGAGGGGGUUGAAGCGCACUCAUAUAAUAAGAUGAAAAAAGGAAGGCAAAAAACCUGAAAACCAACACAAGACCAUAAUAUAAUUCCUUGUCGAUUUAAGUCCUACCCAACCCAACCGCCAUCAUAUCUUUAGUUGUUCCAAGCUCUUUACUGCUUCAAAUUCUUGCAGGUCAUUGGCAGUUGCACUUCCAGUUUCCUCUACAUGAGCUGGUGAUUUAGUUGGCAGGGAAGGCAAUGAAGCAGCUGAUGGAUCUUCUUUUCGAACAACUAGAGGAUCUUCUUUUCGUACUGGUGGAGCAGCAAAAACUGGAACAGCUUGCCUAACACAAACUGGUGGGGCAAUUCGCAUGUGUGGAGCCCGAAUCACCUGAGGGGGUAGCCCAGAAGGUGGUGCAGAGAAAACAGGAACAGCAUUCCUUAUUGUCACUGGUGGUGCAAUCCCAUGAUAAGGUGUCCUAAACUGCCGGAUAGGAACAUAAGGAACUGCCCCUGCUGCAGGGAAUCUCUGGGGGCGGACUGCACGAACGUCCAGUGCUAGAGGCUGUGAUGGUGGCACUGGGUUCUCACUUGAUGUUGUUGACGUGGGUCUGCUUCGUGGCUGUGAUGAUGGCAUAGAACCAUCAUUUGCAGUUGGUGAUGGAGGUCUGUUUCGAGGAGGUGUCUUUUGGCAGAUUAAAGGGAGAAUUUUUGAUGUGGCAACAGGAGGCAGCUGAGGACUAAACAAUCUUGAAUUCUGAAUUGGAAAUUUCUUUGGGAAAGACAACGUGCCACUAGGGGAGUUUGCUAUUGCCAUCUUUUCCUUCAGCCGAUAAUUCAAUAGUGCUCGUGCUAUUGUGAUCUGCUCCAGCUCAUCAUUGUUCUCUGUCUCAGAUGAUGAAUUUGCAGCCUCUUUUGCCACUGGGCAUAAAAGAAAACAUGUAAUUUACGUAAGUUUCAAGGCUUUUGAGAUGCAUUGGAGGCAAAACUGAAAAUCUCACUAGAAUGUCAAACAAAAGGGGCAGCAGGAAUCAACAUAAUGGCCCAUUGAAUAUUAUAAAAAUAUGAUAUUAUCAGGAGGAAAUAUACAGGGAAAAUAUUUUUUAGAUGCGGUAAAGAAGGAAUUGACCCAAGAGUUUUCCAACAUAACAGAUGUUAAAUCCUAUACAGAAUGGAGCAGAAAAAUGAUAUUUAAAACGGAAGACUCAAAUCCUUAGCAUCAACUGGCAGGCUCAUAUUAGAAUGAGCCUUCUGCACCAACCCAGUUCUAUGAUAUAUCCACUCUUGCUUGAUAUACUAAUCAUAUGUCCUAAGUUCAGGUGUGAGGUAUAAUGUCAGUCAUCUUCCAACAACUUAGUAGUAUUGCAAUUGGACACGGAUCAUUAAAUAAACAUCAGACUCGAUGCAAAUUCUAUCAACUCCAAAUCUUUACGCUUGAACCCCCUUUUUUCCCUAUUAAUGUUAGAACCUGAUUCCAUUUAUUGUGCAACCUGAUUCCAUUCUUCUCUAGUAGAUAAAUACAUAUAUCAUAAGUUCAUCUUUGCCAUAAAGAAUUUCACUGGAUAGACAGAGACUGAUGGACAAAGCAUGUAUAUAUAUCACUUUUCUUGGUGUAAUUUUUCCUAUUAUUAAUUUUAUAUAUUUGAUACAUACACACACACACACACACACACACACACACAUAUAUAUAUAUAUAUAUAUAUAUAUAUAUAUAUAACUCUCCAUAAAUCUACUACUGACUACCAUUGCAACUAACUACUAAAAAAAAUUUAGACUGGAACUUACAUUGUUUUAGAGAUGACCAAGCUGCCAUUGCAGCAUUCUUCUCUGCCUGUUUCUUAUUCUUUGCAGGUUCCCCUGUGAAUGUGAUUCCAGCCAAUUCUACUGUACCUGUAAAAACAGGUAGGUGCCCAAGGCCUGACCUGAAAGUUGUGUAUUGAGGCAAUGGUGCUCCUACUCUUUGUGCAAUCUCCUGUAAAAGGUUCUUGUACACUCCCGUCUCAUCCUAACAAUGGUAAAACUUAAUCAGUAUCACGAAAAAAAUAUCUAAUCAUAGCUGUGAACCAAGUAGAUCAAGGAAUAUGGAUACACAACACAUAUUGAAAGCUACUAGUAUAUCUCCUUUUCAAGGCUGUGACAAAAGCACACAAAUGGAAUCUGAGGCCAAAUUAUCCCCAUUUCACAAAGUCUUUAUUUGUCUAUCUUGACAGAAUUUUUUAUAUCAUUAAGUAGACAAGCAAUAUUGCCUUUGAUGACUUCUGAAAAAGCCAUGCAUGGUGUGUUUCACAUACAGAAAAAACAGAUAAUGGUCCACGAGAAUUAUUGCAUCAAAACAACAUACAAGAUGAGGACAUGACAUGGAGUAGUAUCCCACUCUUAGUCAGCUAUUUAAUGACCAAAUUAUUUUAACAAAUAUUUUUACAAGGAAGUAGAAAUUAAAUAGUUGACUGGUUUUUUUUUAGAUUUACUUUUAUCCCAUACUAUGACACUCCUUUCAUUCUUUAGGAACUGAAUAUGUAAGAGGAAUGACUUUUCUUUCUAUAAGCAAACAGAGAAUAGGCAAGAAAAAUAAUUGAAGCCUCACAAUCAAACAGAGGCGGGUUUCAAAUGAAUUGCAAAUUUGGAACAAAUACUUCACAGAAAAGUUAAACAUUCAAUUGAAGCUUGAAAAAUGCGUCCUUGAGGCUCAUCUCACAUGUUAUUAAACGGUUGGGAUAUUUUCUGGGAGGUUCGAGGUUCAAGUCCCAAUAGGAACAAAAACAAAAGCCUAUCACCAAAAAGAGAAAAUGAAGCUUGAAAAAUGGCAAUGAAAGAGGCAUACAUGAAAUCCUAUCUCCCAGAACAACUUACAAUUUUUCCUCUUUUUCUAAUGGUUUUUUUAUCUUACAAUUACAUAUGACAAAGGCCUCUGAGGAAUUAGUAUCUUACAAUUAAAUAUUCUAACCCUGUGCUCCAUCCAACAGGUUCAAAACUUUUGGAGACCAACCAAAGAAAGGGAAAAAAAGGGGAGGAAAAUAGAGGUGUGGCUAAGAAAAGGUGACUACUUUUUAGGAAAUCCUCUUGCGAAUUGAAAUGCUCAAUUGACCUUUCAAGAAAAUCCAUAAAAUGGAAAAUGAAUCAAACUCUUGAAUUUCAUUUCAUAAUUAGAGAUAAGAAAACAAAAAACCACGCUUUAACAAAGACUAAUACAGCCACCUGGCUCAAUGGAGUAGUUUUCUUUUCCUCCAGACACCAAAAUAAAUCAACCCAAAAUUUCCCUUUUUCUUUUCUCAAUGGCCAAACAGGGAAUGAAGAAGAACAACAACAAAAAGGAAUAGGCCCAAAAUUGCUAGGUUUUACCACAAAUUCCUUGACUGGAAUACCCCUAUAAGCAAUCAUUAACCCUGAUGUACCAGAAGACUCAAUCAGCAGCGAUGGAAUAAUAAACACAAGCAAACUAGAUCAAUCUUAGUUAUGGCUUCACAGAUACCACACAGUUUUCACUUUCGCUUCCUAAAUUAAGAUUAUCCGCGUCAGCUAGCCAGAAUAUCCCACGACUUUGCAAUUCUACCCAAAAAUGAGACCCAAGGAUAUUUCGGUCAUUUCAAAAUCAACCCCUUUUCAACCCAAUCCCCAAACCGCCGAUCAAAAAGCAUGCCGGAGUUACACUGGCGGGGCGGGCGAAAUAUGUGAAAGAAGCUGCUCAAAUGCACCGAUCGUCGCAAGAAAAUACAGAGCAAUGGAGCAGAUGAAAAACAGAAGGUCUCAAAUAACACAUGGCGCACAUUAGCAAAGUCCAAUUUUAUUUUAUUUAGCCUAAAAAGAAGAUCGAAAAGCUUUGAGAAUUACGGAAGCAAGAAUAUACCCUAAAGGCCGUUUAAUGAAGCGUGACUCACCAGAAUCCUGGCGGCGAGCGAGUGCGAGGGACCGCGGUUAGAAAGCGAGUUCAGGGCGACUUCAGCGGCGGAGUGCUCGGCUUGCCGCAGAGUGGUGCAGUAGUUAGGGCUCUCGAAGAUCUCGCCGUUAAAGUUAACGGUGGCCUUGAACCUAGGCGCGUGAUCAGGACCUUCUCUGAUGCACGUGUAUGACGGCAGAUUGAAACAGCUCCUCUGCGCCAGCUCCUGAAGCUGGUUUUUGUACAUCUCGCUCCGAUUUCUCUCCCUCAGUCUCGCGCUUCUCUACUCCAAUCCCUCCGCUUUCUCGCCCUAGAAACCGAUUUUCUCACCCAGGAAAUGCCUCCCGGAGCCAGAUCCAAGUCGUAGUUCCCCGUUCGGAAUGAGAGAAAAAGGCGCUGACUCGUACACCAGUGUUCACCGGAAAUGAAGUCCGGCAAGAUCGAGGUUUUAGGGUUUUUCUGUAGAGAGAGAAAGAGAGGAUAUGAAGUUGUGGUAUUUUCUAGUGAUGUUUUCUUUUUCCUUUCUUUUUUGUUUUUUGUUUUUUUUCAUUUAAUAAAUUUGUAUAUUUAUUUUAUUUGUUAAAUGUUGGGAGUCAACUCAACGUUAGGCUUGCAUGGAUGUGAUCUUCCCUUAGAUUUUCCAUGAAUAUAUAUAUAUAUAUAUAUAUUUUUAAUUUUUUUUUCUUAGUAAUUAGUUCUACUUGUUGUUUAGUUUAUUAGUUAGUUAAUUAAUAUUGAUUAUUUGAUAAUUAAGGAAUGAGUCAGCUUUACCGUGUUGAAACCACCAAGCCUCCGUAUUCAGGUCUGGGCCCAGACAUCCAUUUUUAAGAGUGGCCCAUACGAAAGCUGGGCCUACAAUAUACAUAAUACAUACGCUUAAAUUAGAACUUUGUAGACUAAUAUCAAAGUCCAAACCCAUUUUAUAAUCCUAUACAAUUUUUCUUAUUUUUGUAAAUUGGUUUGUUUUUCAAAGAGAAAAAAAGAAGUUUGAUAAACGUCAACAUUAUUCAAUAGUUGAUUAGAGGAACCUGAGGAAGUUUGAAGUUCUAAUUUAGGGUAGGUAGCAUUAGUUUGGCUGAUCAUCUUUAGGGCAUAAAUGCGUUUUUCAUCUGCCUCGCCAAUGAACAUCGCAUUCAUUGACUUUAAGGCACCCCCAUCAACAAAUUUUUAUUCCAUGAAUAUAUAUAUAGCUAUAGAUAUUGUAAGAGAGGGAAAGAAAAGUCCAAUGUGAAGGUGGCAUGGCUUAGGCGCCGGACUUCACUUAACACAGAAAUGAUGAGGAGGAAGGAAUCUGGGAGAUGCAGGAAGUGAAUUACAGAAAUGGGCAUGGAAGUGAUGGAGAAGGGAGGGAUUAGAAAGGGAUUGGGGGGGAGGAGAAAUGGCCGGACUUCACCAUCAUGGGGGAGGUUAGUGGGGAACAACCUUUAAUUAAUCUCAGAAAUCGAUGAAGUUUGACCACCACCCAAUAACAAAAAAGAGAGUGUGUGGUUUUUGACGAGUUGAAAAUUGGAAUUGCUUGGAACCAACCCCACAUCCACUAAUAGGCCGCGUGGAGGGUGACCCAGUGCCACUCUCCCACUCUCCACAUUUAAACAGUUGACUCAUAUUCCCUGGAAUCCACCCAUCAAUUUUGGAAUCUCUCUUUUCACUCCUUCACUCUUUUUCUUGUCAAACAAGGCCUUAUUUUUUUUCAUUUUUAUUUUUUUGCCCUUUUCCAAAAUAGAUAAAACCAUCAUUCUCACUAAUUUCCUGGUGAAUAGGGAGGAAAAUGGGUAUAAUGAUUCAAAUAAUGAGGGUUGUUGAAGGUUUGAUUAAUCAUUGAAAGUGGGUUUUGGGUGGAGAAUGGGGGAGAGGGAAUAAAAGUGUUGGACGAAUUAACCCAAAGGGGGAAAAGGGGAAGGGGGUGAUGGGGACAAUGUAUGAUAUGAGUGAUGAGUGGAUUACAGGCCACACAUGACAAGGGCGAGAGAAGCCGUUGGAACAGCGUUUUCUCCCCAUUUACACAUUUCCAAGGGCAAUGCCCACUUCACUUAAAUGCAACCCCAACCUCCCCAACCUACGCACUUUUCAAACACCCACAUUCUUUCUAGAUUUAUCUAAUUGCUUUCUCAAUUUUGGAUGUUCAUAUAAACACCUCCCCGGUGUUUGACUUACCUUUUCCUCUUUUCCCCUCUAAAUUUUCCAUCAAACAUCAUAUAAAUUUAUCAUUUUUGCGCUCCACGUCAUUAGCUUGCAAAUGCAUGUCAUCCUCAUAUGGAUAAUGGGUUACACCCACCACUAAAAACCCAUGACAAAAUGGAAGAUGAGAGAAAGCGGGGCACCUCCUCUGUCAUUGCAGCCCAGCCCACAUUGGAGACGUGAGGGUUCGUUGUGUGGGACAGGAAGAGAAGGGGAUCCUAAUCUUGGGACAAACCUUGAUCAUGCAUAUCACUUCACAAUCUAAUUCUCUAUUAAGCCAGAUCCAGUAUUUAAAUAAUAAUAAUAAUCUGGUAUUAAAUUCAUUUUCUGUUGGAUUUCUAGAUUUUCCAACUCUAUAGAGUUAUUCACCCAUGAUGCAGGCUACAAGACAGCAACACAGAGACAUAAUCAAAAUACAAAUCAGACUCAUAGCUUUCUCAAAUUAGUGCUUGUAAUAAAAACCCUUGACCCACUGAACACUAUUCAUUUUUUCUUUCCAAUCCUACUCAAAUGGUUCGGAUUCUGUUUUAGCAUGGCUGUUGCGCUAGAUACUAAAUUACUGAAAUGAAUACUGCCUCAGAUAAUUUAUUCAAUAUACUUUUGUAUACAAGCGGGGUUGACAACAAGAGGAUACAAAUCAUGGUGAUUUCUUUUAUAACAAUAAUAAUAAUGAUAAAUAUGAGGUAUUUUAUUAGAAAAACAAAAUUAACUAUAGAGUCCAUGCUGUGUUACAAAAUAUUUGAGAAAAUCACCAUGAAAAGGGGCUUGCUCCCAACAAGAAAAUCUCAUUUUCAACAUCCUUUACCCAUUGACAGACCCGGUUGCACGUCCGUAUCGCCAAGGCCUGCAAAAUCAUGUCCAUCAGAAAUUGGAUUGCAUAGAAAAAGGCAACAUGCUAAAUCAACAGUUGAGAUUCCUUGGCAUUAUCAACUACAUUCUUGUGCACUUCCUCACUUGCCUUUCGGGGUUUUUUAUAAGACCUUUUUUUAUUUGUCACAAAAUGUAUUUUGUAGGAAAGAAUUUUUUUUAUCAGGAAAAUGGGGUGGUGAGAGGACAUCACUGUAGGGUAAAAAGGACUUGUGUUCCUCCCAAUCUUAUCAAUUAUUCCUUGCCACAUACCUCAAGAACUCUUCAAUUUCUAAUAAAUCAUCAAAGAAAGUACUUGAUAUUGUCAGAAAAACAAGGCCUCCAGGAGGCAGUGGCAUGUAGCAGCAUUUGAUGGAGGAGAACAGUAUGCAAGCAGAAAUCAUUUUUUUUUUCCAAAACUGAGGAACCUUCCAUGACCAAGCCCUUGAGACUCUUCAUAGGGAUCCAAACCUCGUGGUGCUGAUCGCCCCACAACAACCAGCACUAGGUAAAUUCAGGGUAUCAUUAGUAGCAGGAUUCGAACUCAAACCCAUGUGCCACUUACUGGGACCACACUUCUCAGUGUUCACCCUUACCAACUGGACUAUUGUCAGCUCCUUAGCCCUUGACUUAACCAUGGAGGAAUAUGCUUCAUGGGUAGGCCUUGCACCCAUGAGAGCCUAGGAUGAAAGCAGGGAAAGCCUGGAGGUUUGGUGGUUCAGACUCUAAGGGCUAUGUGAGGAGGCCACGGGCGAGCCAGACGCGCGCUGCGGUGCGCGCACUGUGGGUGAGCCAGACAUGCACCGCGUGCGCACCAGAUGGGCAUCGUGUGCGCACCUGACUUAGGUGGUGCAGAUGAAGGUUGAGGGACUUUUGGAAUUUUAAUUUAUAAUUAUUUAUUAUUCCAUUAUGUCUCCUCAGGCAUAUUGAUGUCUCCUCAAGAAACAAUGAAAACGACCCGUAUUGCUCUCUUAGGAGAAGGGGAGGGGGGGGUUAGGUGACUCAAAGGAGGGAGCCACCAAGGGAAGCCUUGACUGCACCAAGGAGGCACCAUGGCAGGGCCUUGGGCUUGUCGAAGACACACGGACGCUACUCGAUCAUGCACACAUGGGCUCCACGACAUGUGUGGUGUGCACCCCGCGGCCGCAAUGGCACGGGGCCUGGUGCGGCCUACCCCCUCCCCACACAGGCACGAGGGCGCCUAAGCCUUGUGCGGUGAGCCAGCUAAUGAAACCAUGGGCACAAUGCCAUGGUCUGAUGGCACCAAGCAAUAGCUGACUCGCACCAUGAUGCCUACGCACAGCACAGGGGCGCAAUGCCCUGUGCACCAAGAGGGAUCAGCCAUGGGCGCAAUGCCAUGACUCGUUGCUAUGACGUCGGACCGGACAGGGGAAGCAAGCAACAAGCCCAAGCCAUGGACACCUAGACAUGACACGGGCUCAUACAUCAGUGUGAGGAAGGCACAGAUGCACCAGACGCUUGGUCAGAUGGUUGGUGCACGCUACCUUGCUCAAAGGACCUUGAUCAAAGACAGGCUGCUGGACACCUGGUCACAAGAGGCACCUUGCGGGGAAGGAGUUGGCUUGUUAGGGGGACUCUCCAACAGCUUGGCGAGCAAGACCUGAGAAGAUGGUAGUGCAGUUAACUAGUGGCAGCUAGCUCAGACAGCAAGUGACCAAGUCAAGCCGUCAUUUGACCUGCAGUUGGCUGAGGGAUGAUGGCUGGUGCAAGUGGGUGGCAUGUGCAGGCCACUAUUUGGGUGGUGGGUGGUUAUGCAAGGCAGUUAAGGGCAGCUCUGGCCAGUUGCAUAACCACCAAGUUGGCUCCAACAUUUGAAUUUGGAAAUUCAAAUUUGUAACUGCAGCUUGAGUCUUUUAAAAGGGCUCCUGCAGCCUUGAAACAGAGAGAGAGAGUUUGGGGAAAGGGUUCUUUCUCGUAUGCUUGGGUGAGAGCAUUGUACUCUGGUUCAGGAAAUGAUUUUGUCUUGUAAGAGUGAAAUAAUACAAGUUGGGAAAGGAUUCCCGUAACCUCGUAUGUGUCCCUGUUGCUUUGUUCUUUCUGUGUUUUACUCUGUUUUUCUAAACGCUGGGAAGGAAGGUUGGCUAAGGAAGGGUCCUUAGCACCGCACACUCGUGAAAAAUUAAGUGAGAUAUUCAAGGGUGUGACAACUACCAUAACGGGUAUGCAAGUGAUAUCAUCUGUUCUCAAAUGCCUAGUUGGGGUGUUCAUACAUUUGAUAAGAACAAGCAAUACAUAGAGAAGUUUAAAAUCGCAUGUGUGAUGAGAGGAGUGUGAGACCCUGACAUAUGUAAAGCAUCUAAGCAGACCAUCACGUGUUUACUAUUAAGCUAUCACUUGGGCAGGACCAAAGUUCAAUAUUGACUUUUGAGCAGUAUGCUUCAUAGACAAAUUAUAUGAACAGUGAAAGGAAUUUGUAUACUGAUCUGGUAUGAGCAAUAAAAACAUUCUUAAUUAACAUACAUGUGAAUCACACUUUUGUAAGGGUAAGAAGGUGAAGCAAGUUAUCAUUGUGAACAAUACCAUAUACAAACCUUAAUUCUCAUCUCACACUACAUUUCCACAUAAUGCAAGCACACAGCUAAUUACAUGUGAAAACUGAAUAAUUUUAGUUGAUCAUAUAGAGAAACUAUCUAGCAGAUGAUAAAGUCCAACAAAAACUCUUAUGCGAAUCACAAGAUAUUUGAUGUAAUAUAUGAGAAAAUUGUUAGAUGUAGAGGAGGAUGGAGGGAAUCAUACCUUAUCUGCAAGUGGAUCAAAUGCUGCAUAAAGUUCAAACUCCGGGGUAACCCAGCAGAGGAGAACUGCCACAUAAAAGCAAUAUGGAACUUCAUCAGAGGAGUCUUACAGUCAAGCGAUGGAAUGUAACCAUGAAGAUUAAUUAUGGGUAACUGCAAAAACCAUUAAUUUAUGGAACCUACAAACUAUUUUAACAGUGCAAAAGACAUUCAAACAACAGAGACAAUCCUGAUCACUUAAUAUAAGCAUUUACUACUGUACAAUUCAAGCAUGAAUAAGAAAAGUUACCACAAAGUCUCAACAUCAAAAGGUUUAUCAUCCAAAUAAUAGUCAGUUUGGAAAUGUGCAAACAGUGAAACAAGCUUUCAAUUUGACAAACAUGCUCAGUAUAGCAAUAACAAGUAAAGGAAACUUUUUUAGCAAAUGAUUUACAAUGGCCAGGUCUAUACAUCCACUUUAUGAGAGGAGAGAGCUUCCAUGAAUAAACACAAACAGUAGAUAGGAGAAAUCAAGUAGUUGAGAGAAAAUAAGGCUUCCCUCCAUAAUUCAAAAAUUAAAUGUAAAGGAAAAUGCUAACCCUAUAUUCACAAGUUUUGCACAUUUUAUAUACAUAUAUAUAGACAUGCAAAAGGCGCAUAUGUAUUAAUAGCACCUAAGCAAAUGGGGCAGCAAAAUACACAUGAUGUUUACAUUUGGCACCAAACGCACGAGCUCCUUCUCCUUAUUUGGAGCUAAGCCUAUCGUGAUCAAAGAAUGAUCGCCUAUGUAUACUUUGACCCAUUCCAAAAAAGUAUUCAUCAUUCAUCAAGUUUUGUACAUAAAUAUACUUUUACAGAAAAAGGCUUUUGUUUUAAUUUGUUGCUGUUAUUAUUACAAGGAUGGCAUUAGAAUUAACAUCAUGCGUUAAAUGACAUCCAUUUUUAUUUAAUUCUUUCACCAAUAACGAUCAAGAUGAUAAUAAUUUCCAAAAAAUAUGUAAAUUUCUACAUUUUCUUUAGAAAUAUAAAUAAGGUUACCUUUUUUUUAUGCCAAUCUCAUGUUAUUUUUUUAUAGGUUUUUGAACUCGGGUUACUGGAUUCAGAGUCCAAUGUCCUGACCACUAGACCAUGGGACCAAGUUAUGCCAAUCUCAUGUUACAGACAAGACAUUUCAACUUCCAUUUAUCAAUUAUUCAUUUUCAGUUUGGCUGUCAAAAUGUUCUGAUUAAUGAUUCCUCUGUAUGAUUAGUUCAGAUAUUAUUUAUAAUUCAUCAAUUUGUCAGGUAAGUGAUGCCACAGUGAUGGAAGAUGGGCCAUGACAUACCCACCUUAAAAAUUUUCCGAGGCUUCCUCUGCAUCUAAAGAAGUUACAUAGUCACGACUUCGAACCUUCUUCAAAAUUUUACACUGUUCCAUUAUAUUUUCAUUUUCAGAAUAUUUAACUUUUGGUCAAUAGAGCUCAGAACCUGCAAUCAUAUUGAAGAAAACACAUUUUUUUUUAUAGGCAUAUGCAGGUGAGAAAACACAUGCUUCAAGUGGUUCCAAUCUCCAAUUUUUAGUACAUUUCUGGUGGUUCGUCAGUAAUGUUUCUCAUACUACAUGUAAUUAACAUCAACAAAAUGAUUAAGUGAGAUUAGGAAACUACUCAUGCACAUGCACAUAUUUCUCAUAUUUCAAAUUAGUAUAAAUUAAAGAUAAAAACAUUUUACCAUAGUUUUCAUCCCUUCUAAACUGUGUUUUAUGGGGGGGGCCCACUCCUCUAUCAUGCAUGGAAGCAUAAAGCUUCUGGUAAGCUCUAUAUAAUCUGCAAAAGAGGAACUUGUUAUUUUCCUGACAGCAACAAAGCAGAAAAGACAUAGACAACAGAAAAGAACCCAGAACUCAUGUCCAGUGAAGUUGACACAAAGAUUUAACACUUUUACCUUUUCUGCUGUCUGGAACUGUUAAUUGGUGGUGAGAACUCCGAAGAUACAUACUGAUCCAGAUAUAUGCUGCGAUAUAUGAAAUGCCAAAGUCCAAAAGGACCACCAACACCAAUACAUUCUUCCCUAGAUGUUUCUGGAGAAUCUGUUGGAAGUUUGUGCUGGCCUAAAUGAGCAGAUAAAAUACCAGAGCGAGGAGAUGUAUCAACAGGCAAAUCCUCCACACGCAUCCCACCAUCUAGCAGGGAUCUCUGAACUUCGCUGAGAACAUUUGACUUCAAAAGCACCGUCUCAAUACGAAGCCUAUAGAAUUAGUUAAAUCUUAACACAGGAAGAAGACAGGAAACAAGAAUAAAUUAUCUGGAACACACUAGGCGAAGAUGUGAAUUUUCCAUCAUUCAUGUGGAGAAAAUAUUUAGUUGGCUUCUGCUAUCAAAUUUCACCAAGCAUUUAUCAAGUUAAAGCGUCAUGGUUUACCUGCAAUCUUUGAGAUGAUAGAAAGCAUCUGAUUUAGUAGUAAGCAACAUCAAGUAUGUGUCAACCUGCCACAAGAAAGUAAGAAAAAAAAAACCAUUCAUGCUCUUUCUUGCAUGAGUGCUACAAAUAUUAAGCAUCCGUUGAGUGCAGAAAGUGACUAUCAGUGGUUCUUCAGUCCCAAGACUAAAUGCAAUAACUGAACAGAAUCCAAGAAGGUAAGCAUUGAAUGAGUAUGAGAAGAAAAAGAAGUCUUUGAGACAUAUCCCACUCACAUCAAGAUAAUGGACAUAAGCAUAUAAAAAUGCCAUGGGAUUAUAUCUUGGCAGGCAAAUUGGUGAGAAAGAUUCGGAUGUCCUGCAUGAAGCCCAUGGAACAAGAUUACAACUCCACAAACAAGUUCAACCACAACCACCCAUACAACAAGAUUAAGUCCAUUUCAACAGAGUAAGGAUAUUUAAGAUCAUUUUUCACAUGUGAUAUUCUUGUUGUAUAAGUUAUAAACAUACAAUAAUGACAAUAAGUAAUUAAAGCAAAAAAUAUCAAAUAAUGGAGGCUUAUGACAUCAAGUCAUUCAGCAAUGCACAAGAAUAAGCUGCAGGGCUUCAGAUGUGAUAAAUGUAAACAACUACAAGCCUCAUGGUCAAGCUGCAAGCUAAGCAUGUACCUAGUUGAGCAUAUAUUGGAGGCUUAUAAGUAAUUAAAGCCAAAAAUAUCAAAUAAUGACAAUAAGUAAUUAAAGCAAAAAAUAUCAAAUAAUGGAGGCUUAUGAUAUUAAAUCAUUCAGCAAUGCACAAGAAUAAGCUGCAGGGCUUCAGAUGCAAUAAAUGUAAACAUCUAUAAGCCUCAUGGUCAAGCUGCAAGUACCUAGUUGAGCAUAUAUACAAGACAUGAGAUCAGAUACUAAAGCACUGUAUAGCCUAUCUCCAUGAAAAUGCCAGUGAACAGAUGAUGAAGCCAUCAAUAGAGGGCAUAUAAACUGACAUGAAAAAACAAUCAUAUAGGCUGACAUAGAAAACUAACCAUAAAGCUAUUGGAGAACCGUUGGCAGUAUACAAACAGCAUCCAGAGCUCUAAACAAUAAGGUCAACAUCUUUCAUGAAUUAAUUCCACUAGCAGAGUAAUUGAUUAUAAUCUAAACUGAAGCUUAAAAUCUAAUACAUGCAUAUAAGUAUAUUAGGAGCUCAUUUUAUAGAGUUUAAAUUGUUUCUUUUUGUUUUCUCCAAGUGCAUACUCGCCAUGUACUUGGGUUAAACCCCCUUUGCAGUGUUUUCCUUGCUUAUAAAAAAGGUAGUCCAUAAGAGAGAUUAGGGUUCUAUCUGUAGUUCCUUAUAUUUUAUAUUAAACAGCACACAAAUGACACCCUUCUACAGUUUAGAGAACAAAAAACAAUAGAAGUAGUGGCAUAAAGCACCACUGCCAGCACAAAACUACUGUGAGACAUACAAACAGCCCAAGAACAAUGGAAAGAACAUGCUAAAAUUAGGAAUGCAACUUGGGCGGGUUGGUUUGAUCCUACCCUAUGUGUAGGAGGGAUUGGGCAAUUGUUUUUAAUACUCAGGUUGGGUUUGGGUUAAGCUUUUUCAAUUAGAACCAAUUUGGGUUGGACUUAAGCCAAGGUUCAAACAACCGGAGCCUACCUCAAUUAAAUAUUUUUAUAAUAUUUAUAAUGCAUCUUAUAUAAUAAUAUUCAUUUUCUUUUUAGAUUCUUAAGGAAAAAUAUCAAAUCAUAAUUAUAUCAUAUACUUUUUCAUUUUUCUAGAAAGAUAUAUAAUUCAUAUUAUAUUUUUUUAUUAUCUUGAAAUUUUAUUCCAUUUACUAUUUAAAUUUUAGUAUAAAUAUUUAGAACUUUUAAAUAAAAAAAAAUUGCAGAUGAAUUUUGAAUCAUAUAAUCUUACUAACCUAAGUCUAAUCCAAAUAAGCCAAGUCUAACCCAACCAACCGGAACACAACCCAAGUUCAGAAAAAUGAACUUGGAUUAAGUACCUCAUAUUAGAGCUUGGAUUAAUUAUUUUUUAAGUUGGAUUGGACUCAAAUCACUCAUCAACCUGACCAAAUUGUAAGAAAUGGAUACAACAUACCCCAACACAAUGAACUCAAAAAACCCAAUUAUUAGCAAGGUCCUGACAUUAAGUGUCAGACAAGCCAAAGUAUCAUCUAAUGUUGAGAGGGUAAGAGAUACUAAAAAGGUGUUCUCACAUAGCCUACGAAUGAUAAAGCGCCAGAUCCUGAAAGAGAGAUGGACUGCUGGACUUCAUUCAAUAUACACAUUACUUAUUAGGUAUCUCUUCAUACAGUACUAAUAAACACUUAACUUACAAGAUUGGUCUUCUUUACAUUGGUACUAUCUAUAUCUUUUCAAACUGUGGUAGGCUGGUAAUUAGUAGCCAGUUGCACUUGAGGACUUAUUUGGGACAUACAUACACCUAUAAAACAGAACAUGCAGAUACACAGAUAUAUGGAAAUAGAACACAGAUAGUGGCGCCACUAGGAAAAAAAAUUUGAUAGUUAAAUAUUGAUUAUAUUAAACCACGCCAAAAAGGCACACAAAUGUAUACACGAUGAAUACAAGAAUGCCAACCAGCCAAAAAAGCACAGUGGGGGAUACACAAAAAACAACUUCGCCUUACUUACAGCCUAACCACUCCAUAAAGUUCAACAUGAACAAAGAGCAAUCACCUAUAGACACCCUGACCCAUUCCAACAAAAUAUACUUGAAAGAUUGUUUAAUUGCUUGGUCAACUUUUUCAAUAUCGCAUUUCAAGGAGUAACAAAGAGAAUCACAUUUAACCAGCAUGUGACAGAUACCCAAAAUAAUCUGUAUGCUUCUUAAAUCAUAUGAUACCAACAAAAUGUUCAAGCAAGGAUCAAGGAAAGAGACAUAAAUUUUCAGAGCUAAUCUGACUUGCCUAAAUGAUUCAGAUGACAUAACAAAGUUUGAAAGCAGCAGCAUAUCAUCAGGGUGAAGAGAUGCUUUUUGUGCACCAACAAGACUAAUGACCUACAAUUGAGCUUCAAGUUGUAAGAUAUUAAAAAAUAACUAAUAUGAGAAAAUGGUCCUCAUAAGUAAGAAAAUAAAAUAAAAUAAAACAGAAGAAACCUUGUGUUUACACAUUAGUAUUGCAAAAAGGACGCCUGAAUCAGCAACAUCUUGUAAUAUGGCACCUGAAGCUUGCCUUGUCGCAUAAGCAAGGGGAAGACAGGUGUAUGCAUGAAGAAAUGUAGCUGGGUUCCUGAAACCACAGAAAUGAUCAACCAAUAAACAAUAAACAAUGAAAUGUAAUUUGAGAAUCUGAUUGGAUUAAAUCUUCCUUGGGUACAAUAGUUCUUUUUCUGACUUGUGGACCAUCUAACUGGGCUAGAUGGUACAAGUAUUCAACAUGUGAGGAUGUGGUUCUACAGUUUGAUAAGUUUGAUGAAAGGCCAGACAUUGAAAAUGUUUGUCCACAGAACCCCACAAAGAGCUCAUAGGCAGCACUGGAACAUCUAUAAUUUCGACUGUAUCUAGUUGUUACUAAUACACGUUUUGGCACCCUUGUAUGCAUCAUGUGUACCCUUUUUGUUUCUUACCUAUCAAAAAAAAAUGUGUACCCUUUUUGUGGACUUUUGACAAGAGUACGGUAAAUUAAAAAAAUUAUUCUUAAAUUACUGUAGUAGGAAAAGUAAUUCCAAAUCUACGGCAGUUUUCACCAGGUAGAAGAGCGGAGUUUGCCAAACUUUUCAAUCGUCUUUUGAAAAGACGAUUUGCAUCAAAACAAGUAAAAAAAAAAACUAAUCCCUCAAAAAUCGUCUUUUGAAAAGACAAUUUCCACCAAACAAAAAAUUCACAAAAUCAUCUUUUCAAAAGACGAUUUAAAAAAAAAAUUUAUUUAAGUGGAAAUCAUCUCUUCAAGAAACGAUUCCCACCCAAAUUUUAAUUUCAUAUAUUUUAAUAUCUUUAAUUAUCUCUAUUUUAUAAAAACAAAUAAUACAAUUUAAUAUAAAAAUAUAUUAUAAAUCCAUUUUAAAAUUACAAAAUUAAUUAUACUUAUACAAUUAUUAUAAAUAUAUAUUAUAAAAUUAAUUAAUUUAAUUUACUAAAUUUAAUAUAAUAUAAAUAAUAUUUAUCUAUUGUUUUUUUUUUCUUUCACUCUGCAAUUAAAAAAAACUAUUAUCAAUUUAUUUGAAAAAAUGAGUUUAAAAAAACAAAUUUUUUAUUAAUUAUUUGCAAAAUAAAUAAUUUUGUUUUGUUUUAAUUUUAAAUUAAUUAUAUUAUAUAAUUUUAAGAUUAAAACUAUUAAUCUUUUAAGUUAAAAUUUCAUGUGUUUUUAUAACUCUUAUAACCUAUUAUACUUCAUCACACCAAUUUGAAGAAGACCAUUUGCUACCCUCUCAUAGCUAACAACCAUUACUAAAUUUAUUUAUUUUAUUUUAUUAUAUAUUCUAACAUUUUACAAUUAUAUAUUUCUUUUCUUUUUUAAAAUGGAUAUUUAAAUGUAUAUAAUAUUUUAAUAUUUAUACCUAUGGGCUAGCUAUGAAAGGGUAGCAAACGGUCUUUUUCAAAUUGGUGUGAUGAAGUAUAAUAGGUUAUAAGAGUUAUGAAAACACAUGAAAUUUUAACUUAAAAUAUUAAUAUUUUUAAUCUUAAAUUUAUAUAAUAUAAUUAAUUUAAAAAUUAAAACAAACAAAAUUAUUUAUUUUGUAAAUAAUUAUUUAAUAAAUUAAUAAAAAUUUUGUUUUUUAAAACUCAUUUUUUCAUAUAAAUUGAUAAUAGUUUUUUUUAAUUGCAAAGUGAAAGAUAAAAAAAACAAUAGAUAAAUUUUAUUUAUAUUAUAUUAAAUUUAGCAAAUUAAAUUAAUUAAUUUUAUAAUAUAUAUUUAUAAUAAUUGUAUGAGUAUAAUUAAUUUUGUAAUUUUAAAAUAGAUUUAUAAUAUAUUUUUAUAUUAAAUUGUAUUAUUUGUUUUUAUAAAAUAGAGAUAAUUAAAAAUAUUACAAUAUAUGAAAUUGAAAUUUGGGUGGAAAUCGUCUCUUGAAGAGACGAUUUCCACUUAAAUAUAUAUAUAUUUUUUUUAAAUUGUCUUUUGAAAAGACGAUUUUAUGAAUUUUUUUGUUUGGUGGAAAUCGUCUUUUGAAAAGACGAUUUCCAAGUUUGACAAACUCCGCUCUCCUACCUGGCAAAAACUGCCGUAGAUUUGGAAUUACUUUUCCUACUACGGUAAUUUAAGAAUAAUUUUUUUAAUUUACCGUACUCUUGUCAAAAGUCCCCCUUUUUGUUGGGUGUUGUUUCAUUUUAAUAAAUAUAUUGUUUGUUUGCCUCUUUGAAAAAAAAAGAAAAAAAACACCUAAUAAACAUCAGACUCCUAAAAAUAGAUAAUGAUUCUAUUUUAUUUUGGUUAUAGGUUUCAGCAUUGCCUUUUAAUUCCUUCUACCAUGUGACUGAUAUUUCCUUCAUGUCUAAACAAGUUCAAUGAGCUACAAAAUUUAUUCUUAGGUUAAACAGAGAAAGUAACAUAUAGAUUAAAGUAUUCAACAAAGCUUAAGCAAAGACAAGGAGUAGAUUCCUCUAUACCAACCUAUAACAAGGAAAUUUUUUUUAUCUAUUUCCAGCUCCAACAAACACAAAACAAGCUAAAAGAGCGAGAAACAAACCAAUUGAAAGAAUGAAUGAGAGAAGAGAAGACAACAUCUGUUCCUCCGAGCAAAGGGGUCAUAUCAAACUUUGGAUUCUUCUCAAAACAUCUAUUUACUGACUUUGUCAGAAUAAGUAGCAUCUGCAUCCAUAUCAAAAUCAAAAGAAUGGAGAACUACCAUAAAUAUCAAAAAAUAUUUUUGUUAAAACAGAAUUGGGCAGAAUGCUUAAGCGGUAAGCAGGUCUUAAUUAAAUCUACUUGUAAUCAGAAUAACAAGUAAGCAACUAAAACUUUAAAACAAAUGCACAUGCAAAAAAAAAAGCAUAGAAUAGUAUAACACACCCAAACACAACUGAAGAGGAAUUUUGUGGCGAGAAAUGACUAAUGCUACCUGACCAUAAAUAAGCUCCAACUGACUUCUUAAUGACUCGUAAGGCUCUUCUGUACAGCUGAUGCAAACUAAGUAAAUUGGUCCUUUCACUAGAAAAACCACCUGGAAUACAAACAAAUAAGUAAAAUGUCAAUCCAGACAAAGUGACCCCAGAUAUCAAACCAUCACACAUUCUAUAAAAUGCAAAACCAAACUGUUGCAUACUCCUCUGUUCUUCCUCCCUUUCCCAUCAUCUGAAUUUGUCACUAUCAGGCAGGGCACUAAAACUAGUUAGCAAUACUAAUUAGGCAGAACAUGUUUGCAAGUCCAGUCAGGUACUUCCUGAAUGUGACCAAUUCCAAUGUAUCGAUAAAUACACCAGAACAAUUUCAUCUGUUAAAAUGGAAGUAUUGGUAUUCUUUCUACCAGAAACAUUUUCAUUCUGACCAAUAAAUCCAUGGUCAAAUCCAUAUGAUACAGAAUGGAACAUACCAGAGUAAGUCCUUUCGUUCAGAGUAUAUGAAGGAGCAACAAGACAGAGGUUGAGGGGGCUAGUUUUGAUGUGCCAUUAUAUUCUAUAUGUCUAAAUCUUCUCUAUUAAAUGAGAGAUGUCAUUUCCAAUUUUAAGUGUCAAUGCAUCUACAUUUUCCCAUUGUAAAAGGAGUGCAUUUCUAUUUCUUCAACUGAAAAACCUUAUAAAAUAGUGGAUUAAUACCUUUGCACCAAACAUGAGAAAAAAUAUACAUACAUCAGUGCAUUUCAAACACUACUAACUCCCUCAUUUAGGCAUGAGUUCAGAAAAAUCCAAUGUUCAAAUGAGAGUGGCCCAUGCAUGGAUGGUGAGAAAACCUUGAUUCUCAUUCAUAUAUUGUCUACUUACAAUUGAGAAAAUAUAUAUAUACAAGGCUAGGAGUCCUAACUACCGUAUAUGCUCCAGCUUGAGGGGGAGUGUUGAAUAUAAUGAAUUUAUAGUGUACAAUAUUUCCUUUUUUAAUAUAGGUCACAUAUAUGGUAGUUAGGACUCCUAGCCUUGUAUAUAUAUAUUUUCUCAAUUGUAAGUAGACAAUAUAUGAAUGAGAAUCAAGGUUUUCUCACCAUCCAUGCAUGACCAACUCUCAUUUGAACAUUGUAUUUUUCUAAACUCAUGCCUAAAUGAGGGAGUUAUUAGUGUUUGAAAUGCACUGUAUGUAUGUAUAUAUUUUUCUCAUGUUUGGUGCAAAGNNNNNNNNNNNNNNNNNNNNNNNNNNNNNNNNNNNNNNNNNNNNNNNNNNNNNNNNNNNNNNNNNNNNNNNNNNNNNNNNNNNNNNNNNNNNNNNNNNNNUGAGGGGGAGUGUUGAAUAUAAUGAAUUUAUAGUGUACAAUAUUUCCUUUUUUAAUAUAGGUCACAUAUAUGGUAGUUAGGACUCCUAGCCUUGUAUAUAUAUAUUUUCUCAAUUGUAAGUAGACAAUAUAUGAAUGAGAAUCAAGGUUUUCUUCUCUCUCUCUCUUAACAAUAAGAAAUACAAAAUCAGUUUUUUGAGAUAGAUAAAAUAGGUAUUUCCUUCUUUUUGUGUUAGGCUGCCCAGUUUUCAAAGAUUUAUUCAUUAGUGCUUAGGCUGGCUCAAUAUCUGAAGGGUCCAACAACAAAAAGUUCAAACGACUAAAAAAGGUUAGUAAGCUAACCUGGUGUUUUCCUGCCCUUAUUAAUUGGACACGAUCUCCCCUGAAAAGAGAUUAAUAAAGGAAACUGUUGAAAGUUUUUUUUAAGUUUUUCUUCAAUGAAAAAUUAAUCCACCAAUAAGCAUAUACUUGCAAAUAAAACUUAAUCAUAUAAUAUAAAUUAAAAUCAAAUAGGUAAAUCAUAGCAAUAUACCCAUUCUCCACAAACGAAAUGAUAGCUUGCAAUGUUGCUGAGAAUCCUGCGAGCUUGUGCUCAUCUCCAUAUCUUGAUGUAAUAAAAGAAAAAAGAAACAAAAGUUAAACAGAGACUAAGUGGGCAUUUGGUAAAACUUAAUAAUUAUUACUUAAUUACUUAAGUUGACUUUUAGUUAAAUUGUUCUUAAGUUGUUAAAUUAAAACUUAUUGCUUAUUUUUUACUUAGUAUUAAGGUUAUUUGGUAAAGUUAACUUAAAAUCUAUUUUAAAUCAUUAAAUUAACAUAUUUACCCUCAUUAUUUUUAACUGCAAUUUAUCCUCAUUGAUUUUAACUUAUAUUUAUUUUCAUUAAUUUUAUGCAAUAAAUUUAUUUGUAAAACAUCUAUAUUUAAAAUAUCUCAGAUACCUAAGAUAACCAUAAAAUAGUUAUUAUAAAAACAAGUCAGGACGUGGAAUCAUAAUUCUAAAAUAUAUUUUCACUAGUGUGGGCAAAUGAGACAAAAAAGAUUUGAGAUUAAAUAUAAGUUAACCAUUUUGACUUAACACUUAAAAGUAAAAAUAACGUUAAGUUGUAAUAUUAAAUUAUUUUAUCAAACAUGCUUAAUCUACUUAAUGACUUAUAUUAAGUUAUUAAGUUGAUUUACCAAAUACCCUCUAAGAAAAACUGAAACAGAAUGCACAUCAAAUCUACUGAAACUCUGCAUUGAGAUUAGUCCCUUUUUUUUUUUUCUUUCUUUCCUUUUUUUUUGUAUCAGAUCUCUGCAUUGGGAUUAAUAGAGCCUGCAAAAUUCAUAAUAUGCAUUUUCUUGGCAGCAGAACCACACCUGGAAUAUAUUGGUUUCCCAGAGUGACUCAGAAUGAAAAAGUGCUUCUUUCUUUUCCUCCAUGAAAUAGAAGCAUCGUCCUGCACUUCAUUUAUUAAUCAAACAGGGCAUGAUAUUCCAUUUAUCUUACUAAAAGUAUUUUCUGAGUCAACUGAGAAAAAUAAAUGAAGGUUAUAUGCAAUGGAACUUUGAAACAAAACAUGUCAUAGAAUGUUGUGUAUUGCAUAGAGCUUACUAUUGAUAAAAUGACUGAGAACUGAGGUGUAAAGUUAAAUGAUGUGAAGCAAGGAUGAGUUAUCUAUAGAGGAAUGGGGAGAGGGGUCCUAGAAAGGGAAAAUCGUAUGCUGAAGCAGUAAGGAAGAGCAUUUAAUCAUUGUAUAAGCACUAUGGGCGAAGCAGGUGCACAGAGAAACGGAGGCAAUGGAAUGAUGUUGUCCAGUGUCAGGGGAACUUCUCUAAUCAAGCCCCAAACUUGCUCUCUCUUAAGAGACAAGCAUUGCUAAGUGAGAAACCGAAGGGCUGUCUUCAAAGAUAAACCCUUGCAUAUGGAUUGAUGGGUUCCAAAGGUGGGAUGAUUAAAGGAAAGUGUUCAUGUAAGAUAAGUGGGUGAGAGUAAUAGGGUUGCCUCUAUGAGCAUAAAUUCAAGACUAAAGAGCUUUACUAGUAGCAUCCUCUAUAACCUUGACCUACAACUAUAGUGUUGUACACAGGCUCUGAUACAAAACAGAUGCAGAACCAUAAAAAUUCCAGCACUAUAGUGUUUUUCCCUGUUGUAUAAUGAAAUGAGAAUGAAAGAAAGCAGGGAAAAAAUGUAAAGGAAAAUCAGGUUCUUGACAAUCACAUCUAGGGUUUUCCUAAGUAAUCACACAUAGGUGGAAAGAAUUUUUUUUUUUUUAAAAAAAAAAAGGAAAUAGAUCCUUGGCAAUCUUACCAAGAUUCCUAGACAAUCAUCCCUAUGGAAGGCAAUCAUACCUUUGAAAGCCUACAUGGAUACUAAAUUCACAAUAAAUUCUAUUCAGUGAAAUGGAAAAACUACAUAAAUCAAUAUAGAGUCAUGUAACUCAUUUUUCUAACAAAAACUAAGACUACUUUUCUAGUAGGAACAUGACCUUUUUUCCCUAAAAAAGUUUGAAACUAAAACAAAUAGAAACUUGACUAGAAAAUAAACUACUAAAAUCAAUUCUAGUAAAAUAAAAUAAAAGACUCCAACUAAAACCAUGAAAUGCUAAAAUUACAAAAUUAAUUUUGUUAAAUAUUGUUAGCCAUCACCAAUGGCUCAGGGUCUACAAGUUUUAACAAUCAUAAUUCCUUGACAUUAAAAUUCUUUCAAUUUUCCACUCUUUCUGUACAGUCCUCACACUCUGACACUUCGAAUUCCUUUAUGAUACAACAAACACUCUCUCUAUCUCUAUUCUCUCCAUUCAAAAUUAGGAGCUUAUUUAAGGAAGUUUCUAGUUAAUGAAAAUCAAAUAUAAAAAUGUUAUAACAAUUCUAUUAAUUAAGAAGUUUUGUUAAUGACAUUCACGGGUUUUUGGGCACCAGUGUGUAGCUUUGAGUCUUGAGAUGAGUGACCACAUCAUGCAAGUUGAAAAACAACUUGGCAGUAAAAGUUGAAAAACUUUUGGAGCAAUUCCAUAGGCGAUGCACGGGUAGCCAAAAGUUCCAACAAUGUAAAAUGAACUUGAAACUUACUCCCAUUCCCAAUUUCUUGCCACAUUCUCUACCAUUCCUAAUUUCUUCAACAAAGAAUAAAUUCUUCGAUGAUAAAUCAAAUGAAAUUAAUUGCAAAACAAGGUUGAGUUGGAAUAACAUUUGAACAUACUAAAAUAGCACCCCACACUGAACUCACCUCAUCGACGUGACGCUUCCCUGGAACCCACGAUUGCUGUAAAUCCGAUACCCCAUCAACGGAAUCAUCAUUCCUAACUUCGAGAAUUUCAUCUUCACCACCCUCCCCAAUCCCAGACUCACUCGUCGCACUACUACUGCCCCGUUCCCCAGCAUAGCCGCUACUGCUAGGGCUGGAAGGCGCAUCAACUUCAUGCUCCGAAUUGUCCCUCCACACCACUCCAUGAGUGAAGCUCUCACUCACCUCUUCAACCACCGCCUCACUGCCAGCAGCUUGAUUAUUCUGAACCACUUCCUGGAUCUCCUCACUGAACGAUCCGUUUGCGACCCCGGCUUGAGGCUCCUGAUCCGAUGGCGAUUCGGCGCCGCCGUUGGGCUCAGUCAACGCGAUCGAGGCCAAGCGAUCUUGAAGGGAGUCGAGGGGUUUGGCUGUGGGGCUAGGGUUAGGGUUUUGGUCAGUGGAGCCGUCAUUGGAUAUGGAGGAGCUCGAAUCGGACGACAUUGGGUAAGAUAUGGGGGGCGAUAUUUCGGAAUUCGUUGGAGCGCAGUGGAGAAAACUGAAAACUAGGUUUAAGGAUGGUUUGGUCUUGGAGAGAGGAAGAGGACGAGAGUGCUUUCAGCACCAGUCGGUCACCGUCUCCAAUGACCAGUAGGUGAAUGGAG
rnacentral:lncRNA from 1 species